rnacentral:lncRNA from 1 species
AUGUUUCUAAAGACUGACUACCUCGGUGCUCAGUUCAGACAUGUCCUUGUGAGUGUUUUAAGGUCCCAGGUGUCAAACAUAUCCAGUGAAUUGUCUCAGGUUUUUGCAGAAUUUACAGGAAGGAAGCCAAGCCAUGUGAGGAGCCUUGAGCAGGAUCAGGAAAGGAGCGGGACAGCCUUUGACAGUCUCUGUGUCGACUCCUUCGAUUUCUCCUGCAGAACAUCCUUCCAGUAAUACUUACAUUUUUCCUAUAGGAUUCUUAUAUUUUUAAGACCAAAUGGGGAUUCUAAAAAUGUUAUAAAUUAUACUUAGCAUUAGUUUUUAACCUAAGUUGGCUUAGAGUUUAUUGAAAUUUAGAUUUAAUUGUAUGGGUUGUAAAUAGUUUUAGGAAGAUACCUAAGUAAGUGUGUCAGAGUAUUUCUUGAAAUGUUAUCACCAGUCUCUUCAAUAUUAGAUUCACAGAGUCAGCUGGGCAUGGUGGUCAUGCUUAUAAUCCCAGCACUUAGGAGGUAGAGGCAGUAGGAUUAUGAUUUAAGACCAGCCUGGGCCUCAGAGGGAGACACUGUCUCAAUCCUACCCUUACCCUCCCUCCCCCCAAAAAAAUUAGCAUUCACAGCCAUGUAUACAGCAGGCUAGAUGGUUGGUCUGAAAUUUCACACUGUAAAGCCCUGAGACUAACACUUGACAAGGCCUAAGUCAUGGCUGGCCCUGCUCAGCCUCCUGGAGUCUCCAGCCUGCACAUUGUUCCAUGCCUGGCCUCGAUGACCAGAGGAGAGCCAGUCUCUGAAGACAGCUGAACUGUCCCAGCAUGAGGUGGACAUCACUCACAGUCUCACAGCUGGCUUCAUGGUGAGCACUGGUUCCCCUGACAUGACCUUUGCCCCUAGCCCAGGAGGCCUGAUGUGCUGUGCUCAAGCGAAGCUGCUCACUGUGGAGCCAGGGUCAAGCUGGAAAGGCUUUUCCCUUUUAAAUUAGGUUGGGACCGGGGAGGGAAUGCUUUUAUGUUUACAUUUUUAAUAAGAUAGAUUAAAAAUUGUUCUUUAUUUAUGGUGGUGAACUUGAAGUGUAAUGUAUUCCUUAGAAGAACAUGACUUUAAUAAAAAUGGAAACU